rnacentral:other from 1 species
ACGGUUAUAAAUCAAUAUAUUGAUUUAUAAGCAUGGAAAUCCCCUGAGUGAAACAACGAAUUGCUGUGUGUAGUCUUUGCCCAUCUCCCACGAUGGGCUUUUUUUUAA